AUCCACCUGACCAGUCCCAAACAGGACGAAACGCGCGUCCUGGAU
rfam:Schistosoma mattheei strain Denwood, Zambia genome assembly, scaffold: SMTD_scaffold0000140